GCCUUGCCCAGGUUGUCGGUGAAGUCCUCUUGAGUCAGGAAGUGAAAGAGAAGAAAGGCCACCGUGUACACGAUGAUGUUGGCCAUCACACUGAAGGCAUACCUGUCAAAGAGGCACAGCAAUACAUUCAGAAAGCCCCAUGACAUUGACAUCAGACACUUCAAGUUCCUCCCAAACAAGAAAGAACGGAAUGACUAAAAGACACCGGAUUCUUUUUUGGUCAACUUUUGUCUCAUGACACGUAUCCACAAAUGACGAAAUAGUCACAUAAACUGGCAAACUAAAAAAGGGAACACAUUGUAGAAUGAGUAAGUGCUGCUAUAUCAAUAAAAUGAAAAUUUCUUCAGGUGA